rnacentral:rRNA from 1 species
CAGCAGCCACGGGAAUACAGAGGGUGCGAGCGUUAAUCGGAUUUACUGGGCGUAAAGCGUGCGUAGGCGGCUUCUUAAGUCGGAUGUGAAAUCCCUGAGCUUAACUUAGGAAUUGCAUUCGAUACUGGGAAGCUAGAGUAUGGGAGAGGAUGGUAGAAUUCCAGGUGUAGCGGUGAAAUGCGUAGAGAUCUGGAGGAAUACCGAUGGCGAAGGCAGCCAUCUGGCCUAAUACUGACGCUGAGGUACGAAAGCAUGGGGAGCAAACAGGAUUAGAUACUCCAGUAGUCCCUGUCUCUUAUAC